CGCGGGAAUUCGAUUAGAGUGGAAAAACUCCCUUGACGGUACUUAAUGAAUAAGCCCCGGCUAAUUAUGUGCCAGCAGCCGCGGUAAUACAUAAGGGGCGAGCGUUAUCCGGAAUUAUUGGGCGUAAAGGGUGCGUAGGCGGUUUAAUAAGUCUAUAGUUUAAUUUCAGUGCUUAACGCUGUUGUGCUAUAGAAACUGUUUUACUAGAGUGAGAUAGAGGCAAGCGGAAUUCCAUGUGUAGCGGUAAAAUGCGUAAAUAUAUGGAGGAACACCAGAGGCGUAGGCGGCUUGCUGGGUCUUUACUGACGCUGAGGCACGAAAGCGUGGGGAGCAAACAGGAUUAGAUACCCUGGUAGUCCACGCCGUAAACGAUGAGUACUAAGUGUCGGGUAAAACUGGUACUGAAGUUAACACAUUAAGUACUCCGCCUGAGUAGUACGUACGCAAGUAUGAAACUUAAAGGAAUUGACGGGACUCCGCACAAGCGGUGGAUCAUGUUGUUUAAUUCGAAGAUACACGAAAAACCUUACCAGGUCUUGACAUUUUCUUGCGAAGUUAUAGAAAUAUAAUGGAGGUCAUCAGGAAAACAGGUGGUGCAUGGUUGUCGUCAGCUCGUGUCGUGAGAUGUUAGGUUAAGUCCUAAAACGAGCGCAACCCUUGUCGUUAGUUGCCAGCAUGUAACGAUGGGGACUUUAACGAGACUGCCAAUGAAAAAUUGGAGGAAGGUGGGGAUUACGUCAAAUCAUCAUGCCCCUUAUGAUCUGGGCUACAAACGUGAUACAAUGGUUGAUACAAAGAGUAGCUGAAACGCGAGUUCUUAGCCAAUCUCAAAAAGUCAAUCUCAGUUNGGA
rnacentral:rRNA from 1 species